UGGGGGCAGCUCUGAGGUAGAGUGCUUGCUUAGUAAGUGCAAGACCCUGGGUUCAAUUCCCAGCACCACAA
rnacentral:tRNA from 1 species